CCGUUGCCGGCGACCGGCGCACGGGUGAGUAACACGUAUGCAACCUGCCCGUGGCAGGGGGGAUAAGCGGGGGAAACCCCGGUCUAAUACCGCGUAACGCGGCCUAGGGACAUCCCAAGGCCGCCAAAGGGAGCAAUCCCGGCCACGGAUGGGCAUGCGGCGCAUUAGCUAGUCGGCGGGGUAACGGCCCACCGAGGCGACGAUGCGUAGGGGUUCUGAGAGGAAGGCCCCCCACACUGGUACUGAGACACGGACCAGACUCCUACGGAAGGCAGCAG
rnacentral:rRNA from 1 species